GACGAACGCUGGCGGCGUGCUUAACACAUGCAAGUCGAACGGAAAGGCCCUGCUUGUGUGGGGUGCUCGGGUGGCGAACGGGUAAGUAACACGUGACUAACCCGCCCUUGACUUUGGGAUCACUUAAGGAAGCUGGGGCUCAUACCGGAUAGGAGCUCCUGCUGCAUGGUGGGGGUUGGCAAGUUGCGGCGGUUGGGGAUGGACUCGCGGCUUACCGGCUUGUUGGUGGGGUAGUGGCUUACCAAGGCUUUGGCGGGUAGCCGGCCUGAGGGGGUGACCGGCCCCAUUGGGACUGAGUUACGGCCCAGAGUCCUACGGGGGGCAGCGGUGGGGAAUAUUGCCCAAUGGGCGGAAGCCUGAGGCAGAAACGCCGGGGGGGGAAUGACGGCCUUCGGGUUAUAACCCGCUUUAGCCUGUGACGAGGCGUUAGUGACGGUAAUGGGUAAAGAAGCACCGGCUAACUACGUG
rnacentral:rRNA from 1 species